UCGACUCCCACAAUUUAUGC
rnacentral:piRNA from 1 species